AACGAACGCUGGCGGCAGGCCUAACACAUGCAAGUCGAACGCUGCAGCAAUGCAGAGUGGCAGACGGGUGAGUAACGCGUGGGAACCUUCCCAGUGGUACGGAAUAGCCCAGGGAAACUUGGGGUAAUACCGUAUAAGCCCCUAGGGGGAAAGAUUUAUCGCCAUUGGAUGGGCCCGCGUCGGAUUAGCUAGUUGGUGAGGUAACGGCUCACUAAGGCGACGAUCCGUAGCUGGUCUGAGAGGAUGAUCAGCCACACUGGGACUGGGACACGGCCCAGACUCCUACGGGAGGCAGCAGUGGGGAAUAUUGGACAAUGGGCGCAUGCCUGAUCCAGCCAUGCCGCGUGAGUGACGAAGGCCUUAGGGUUGUAAAGCUCUUUUGGCGGGGACGAUAAUGACGGUACCCGCAGAAUAAGCUCCGGCUAACUUCGUGCCAGCAGCCGCGGUAA
rnacentral:rRNA from 1 species